UGCAGGCAUGUGGUUUUAUGGCACACAGAUACACAGAGUUUCCACUGACGGAGGUGGAGAUACUCCCGAUUCAUACUGGCGUGACUCGUGAGAUCAGAAUCAAGUGGGGAAACAGGCAAAGAGAAGUGGAGUGACUUCCCCAAGUUCAUAUGGCAGCUAAUGUCUGCCUCCAAACUUCCACAGCAACAAGGAU